UGUUGAGGUGAAGGGUUGUCUAGUAGUUGUAGGCCUAGGAAAAGGUAUUGAAGGUGUGUCAUAAUUGUAGCCCUUCGUUGGCUCUGGUGAUUACUCUGAAGAGGAGUUUGAUGCUGAAGAUUCUGCUGAGAAGCAAGACACCCUAUGGAUGAUAAAAUAAGAGGCUAGCUGAGAAAGCAGAAGUAGAUAAAUAACUGAGUGUCUGUUAAGAACAUAUGUCCUCCUACUCCAUACACCUACUCCUGUUUACACAAUCAGAUUCAGUCAUCAUGCAGUAAUCGGUUGCCGUGUAAUUUUUAAUGAUGUCACACUGAUAGCGUUUCCUUUUACUAAAAAAACGUGUGUCGGUUAAAUAAUUAUGAUGUACAGUGAGAAUGUAAUGAAUCAUCUGUACGUUGCACUAAGGUGACAUCUGUUUUAAGAAACUGAGGAAAUGUAUUAUGCAAAUUCAUUUUAGAACACUUGUCAUAAUGAUGAUAAUUGUUACCCAUCUAAGUAUUGUAAAUUUGUUUAACACUUGGAAACUGAACGGUUACUGAUGCAAUUAGAAGCGUGUUAAUUAACUGACAAGACUAUAAAAAUCAAUUGGAAAGAUGAGAGUAGUUAUUGAAUACCGAGAGCACAAAAGUAAACAAUCGUGACCAGAAGUAAUCAAAAAAAAGAAGAAGGGAAGAUCUUAAAACGCGCGAUAAUUGCGAGGAGUAUUUCACUGUGCGUAUCUGUCGGUUAUUUGCUGUGGUUUCGCAACGAUUUAAUUAUACGUCUUUCGCCUCAUUUCUACUCAUCUUUUUGUUGACCUCGCUGCAACGAAUACGUGCGAAACUGUGUCUUUUGAAUGCAUCUCAAUUGCUGAUUACAAAAUUAAUAUAAACGGAAGUUGGACAGAUAUUAGGCAGUCAGUUCUGCAAAGAUUUCUGCCCAUUUGAAAAAAUAUUAAAGCUCAUUAAACAACUUCAGUCUAAGAAAGUCACUGAUCUAUAUCACAGAUGAUAUUCUAACUUUUGAUAAAAUUAAAGAGAAGAGAAUUUUGUAUUGAAGUAUCUUCAUAACAGAUUGAGGGUAUAAAAUUAAUUGCACAAGCAUUUACACUUUAACAACAUAUUUAUGUGAAUUGAACAUCAAUUAUUUAUAAUUAUAUUUCAUCAUCUAAAUACUUGUAAGAAUAUUUCUGAUCAAUCUUUGCAAUGAUGAAAGAUACAGUAUACCUAUCCAGAGAUACUGUACUGUCUCCUUGUACAAAUUGUCAAUUCCCUCAGAGUAGCUGUUCAACUUCAUCAUCUAACCCUAUGAUGCAACAAGUGCAGUUCAAAUGUCUGGAAAAAGUCUCACGAGGAAGGCAAUUAGCUACUCAUUUACAGUUCAAUUACGUGCAUCGACGUUUCACUGAAUAAAAAUGCGAAGUGCAUGCCAACAGUUUGCGACGCUCGUGGAAAUAUCAAUCAAUUAAGAGGCGUACGUUGUGGGGUCUUAGUUCAGAGAUCCCUUCAUGAACGGUGUAAGCCAAUCUUUAUUGAAGUUGAGACUCUUGAUAUAUUGAGUCCUGUGAAGCAAGUCAUUUGUUAAGGUGUUCCUUGCAAUUGAAGACAUAUGGAAAGAAGAUAUUGAGCCAGAGGAAGUUUCUGAUUAAGUAAAAUGAGCCAAGAAGAAGCCAGUUGAAUUACAAAAUAGCUCAGAAUUUCAUAAAGAAUGUUAAGUAGCCUCUGUAGCGUCGUUCCUCAUUUAAAUUUACCAGCUGAAGAAAAAGUUGGUUAACAUCAGACACCAUUGUUUUCAGCAGUUAUUGUUUAACGUUCAUUGUCACAGCCAAAGUGAUGCAACCCUUUUUAGAUUUCGAAUCAAGGAUUGCAAUUACCAUGUAAAUUACAUCACACAGAGGCUUAUGAAGGAAAGGAAAGGAGAGCAGAUUUCUAUAAAUUCAUGAUGGAUUAAUUUCAAACUAAUAAUCACGCGUUAUGUACAACUUCAUGUUGUCAGUGCGUUUCUUCGCAUCAGCAAUUUACAUUACAAAAUCGAAAUCCCUUUUACUACCGCGACGAUCAAUCAAUCACAGGAAAUAAACGAAAACUUUCACGUGUGUGCGUUGCAGCUCCUUAAGCGAUCUUUGAAAACGACCCAUUGGCACAAUCACCAGGCAAUAAAAAAUUCACCGACAUUCGUAAAUCUAUCAAGCCUCAUUUGAAUCGUUUAUGGUUUUGUUGCAUAAAAGAGUCAUCCAGUAUCAUAUAUCUUGAAUAUCCAAGAAGAAAGGAGUGCAAAAUUUCCUUGAACUCAGAGUACUUUGAAAAAGAAGAAAGGAAGAUUUUUAUGACACCAAAUACAAUAUUGUAAAUCCCAUAGGACAUUAAAUUAUUCCUUGAAGUGAACUGAAAUCACUAAAGAAUCAUUUUGUAAAGUAACCAGAUCUAAUUUUAAACUCAUGAAGCUAUAAAAAGAUGAGAGAUUCCAAGUAUUCAACGCAGUGGAGAAUCAAGUGAUUUGCUAUUCCUUAUGCAGAAGUGAUUUAGAUUCUCAAGUAGAUAUCGAAUGUGCAGCUCUUCCUAGCCAGGUUUUCCUAACACCUGGAGGCAAACGCAUGCAUAUCGAUAAAUCAAUUACGAGCGUCUCUGUGUGAUUCAUCUCUGCAGAUUAAUCGGAGGGAAUCAGGAAAGAUUGUACGGAAUAUACUCGAUAAUUUGUUGACACCUCUCCCACUCUGGAGAACACGUGAACCGAGAUUUAUGCGCCUCGAGGUUUAUCGGCUUGGGUGCUGUAAUUAAUUAUAAUAAUUAGACGGGCGAAGGGAUCGACGUUUACGGCUUUCAAACUGUUGCUUCUGUUGCCUCUAUGAUUCUUCAUAUGCAUGUUGGAUCAUUUAGCAAGAGCUGCAACUUUUCACUUCAAUUCCUUAAUCAUGUACUUUUGGAACUUUGAUACUGUAGGAAUUCAAUUAAUUCUUCAAUCAUAUACUUUUGGAACUUUGAUAAGAAGUAAUGGAAUUUUCAAAUGAUACUUGUUAAUGGUGAUUGAAUUUAUUAAAAGGAAAAGGAUGUACUCACUUGAAGAUAAAACAUGUUGUGAGGACAAAAGAUUCCUCAGUUAGGUGUGCCUCAAAUAAAGUCGCACCUUUGGAAUGUUCACUGUGGAAAGACAUGGAAAAUCAACCCUUUAUAUAAGCACCAUUUUUCAACCUUUGCUAAUCAACAGUUGAAAUUCUGGAUGGUGGAAAUAAUUGCAUAGAAUACCGAUCGCACAAUCGAUUCACGGAGGCAUCAAGAGAAACACGAUUUUAUCCUUAAACCUAGAUUCUUUGGCUCUCGAGGCUUAAUGCCAUCAGGAGCACAAUUUACUCGACAUUUCGUAAUGCUCUGAUGGUACAAAUACAAAUGAACUUUAUUCUUCAAUAUAAAAACAUUCAUACUAAAUCACAAAACAAUUGCAUGGACUGAAUAUUUGAUAAACUGAGUCUGGGUUCUAAAAAUCAGUGCCUCAUAAUGUAGACCCAUAAACUGCAGAUUAUAAUUAAAUUAUAAUUGAAGGAAUUCGAUUGUUCCUCUUGAAGAGUGCGAGGCAUCAGAGCAAACGAAAGAGUACGGAGAUAUAAAGUCAUUGUGUCGGUUGAGGGAGCAUCAAGAAACGAAGAAAAGGUUGCACAAAAUUAUAGUAUCCGAGAGAUUCCAUUUGAACUGGAAGUAUAUAUCAUUGCAGAUUCAAUUUAAUGCGUGCUUUGCGACAUAAAGGGUUGAAUAGACCUCGACGACAUUUCACGGUUAACCACACCCUGACUUCGAUUGUUCUUAGCAUUGCAUGCAUACACACCACUCCCUGUUCGUACAUCCUCUUUACAGAAGAAAAAUUCGUUUCUUCUACACAUUCUUUGCUUUUUAUUCACUUGGGACCAAAAUAAAAAGCGUUAUUAAACAAAAAAUUUGCAUUAGCAUUCACAGUUUGAAUUGUUUUAGUUGGAUGAUUGUAUCAACAUUCAGGUGAUAUUGAAAGAAGUAGAAUACUUAUUUUCAUUAAAUUAAUACAGAUGUUCACUUUUUUUUAUGCAAAGAGAUCAUCAACAAUUGUAUGUAGGUCUCUGACAAAGACUCUCCUGAUGAAGCAUCAUCAGUUUAAUACAAUUCUCCAACAUGAAACAACAGUAAAAUUACUAAAAGACAUCCCACAAGAACAACAGAAAGUCACAGAGAACGUUCAAUGCGAAUAUCACUGGACAGAUACAACUGCUAAUCCAAAUGCAACGUCAAUAGGAAGGCACCGUGGUGUCACCAGGGGUUGGUUGAACGGAACGUCACCGAGGUCAUGAAGAGUUUAACGUCUCUCUCGAGCCACCCUUACGGAUUCACGGAUACGUUUUUAAGAUGAGCCACGUGUGUCCCGUCGGAUACGAUAUCGUUGCACUCCGCCACGGCUGUGAAUAAAGUCAGUACGUAACUGCUCGGCAUGCUGGCAGGUUGGGUUUAUAUAGCGUGGGUCUAAUAAGAGAUGAUACUUGAACGCCACAGUUGGGACCGGGGACCAAGAAGAACAGAAGAGGGGACGCGUUUGCCUUGUUUCACCUUACCUUGCCUCACCUUGCCUUAGAACCUUGUUAAGAUCGACCUGGGGAGGAUAAAUCUUGCACCACUUUCUUGCUCCACCAAUGUGCCUACAGCUUUAUGAACGCAUACAUCUCCUUGUGUGUGGAUAACAAAUAGCACCACCAUGAAUUCAAUCGCUACUCAAGCACGGAAGCCGGUAAUAGACAAAAUCUGUCCAGCAGGUGUAUCCAGCAAGGAACAUGAAUCAUUCUGAUGAUCAAGUUGCACGCCAGGUGAUAGAGAGACACCGAGAGAGAGAAUAGAAAUUGCGGAACCGGCGGUUGUAGUAAUUUCCGUGGAUUGUUGCUACAGGAUCAUUCAAAAAGAGACGCAUGACAAAAUGCGACACGAAUAUUUGAAUCUGCAUCGUGGGAUAAUCCGGAUCAGUAGGAUUCAAAUGAUCUUUCCAGCCGCGUGAGCUGACUCGUCUGGCCUCAAAGGUGCAGCAUGAAGAAGUCAUUCCAUCGACUAUCGUGCUACGAAUCGAAAAGAAUUUGAUAUUUCAUGUAGGUGCUCGAAACGUAGCCGAAGAGCCUCGAUGCUCUAUUGAUAUAUUGAGUACCGUAACUCAGGAUUUUUGUGCUCAUUGUUAAACCAUGAAAAUGGAUGACUGCGAAUGUUCUUCUGAUAGAAGAUUAAUGGAAGGUUGAUGGAGAGAGCUUCAUUCUUAAAAAUCACUGGAUGUAAUAGUUAUUUUAGUUGGAUGAAAGCUGACUGGAAGAUUGAGUUAUUAAUACUGAAAUUCUUCAUAUAUGAUAUUCUUGGUACUAUCUUUAUUAAAAUAAAGAAUAUGAAGAAUCGAAGGAUGUACGUUUUCCUUUGAAGGAAUUUUCACAAAACCUCCGGCACAUCCUUGGUACACAGCUUCGGCAAGCGGAGAAAGGCACGCGCGGAUACGCACGCUCAGAAUUGCUCGGCGAGCAAUCCACCUUUUGCCCCGUAUUUACCUGCAUUCAACAACGCCGAGACCAGGUCAGGAGAGAACACGAGGGGCACACUUGAAGCUUAACUUGCAUCAACCCUUUCACGGCCGAGCAGUUGUUCGUGCUGAAAAUCAUUGCACAUCCUUGUCCAUCGACUUAGAGAUAUGUUAAAGAGGAUAUGCAUCGAUGCUCGUGGGAAGUGGUGCGAAAAAACUUGCGAAACAUUUGCACUUUGUAUCCGAGGAGGACGUCCAUCUUGAGUGGGCUGUAUCUUGCGUUGCGAAAUGUACGUUAGAACGUUGUUGCACGAAUUAUUUGAUGAUUACCAGUCGCGGUUUUACACCCACCGGAAAGCUGUUCAUUAAUGGAUUCGCCAUAAUUUUAGUACAAAGAAUUUCUUCUUGGGAAUGAUGAAUGGUGUGGAUGUUGCAAACGAUUCUGUGUUUUAUUAAGAGGCCAUUUAUAGCACUUGAAUGUGGCUAUUUAUAGCUACGCAUAUACUUGUACAGCAAUCUAGGAAAUUAGAUAUUUAACUAAUUGAACUAAUUGAAUAUUUAGAACAGUCGAAUUUUUGUAAGAAAUAGCGUGACGUAAGAGAGGAUUAUAUCAGAGUUUCCACGGUGCUCUGGCAAAAUGUUGCAUUGAUGGGAACCCGAGAAAUCGACUUGCAAUUUUUCAAAUAAGUUUAUACAACUACAUAUAGAAUAUUUUCUCCAUUAAAGUACUGUGACAUUCCCUGGAAGAUUUAAAUGGAUGCGUAGAGAAUUGCAGUUUCUUCUUUUUCUGCUUACAGUGAUACAUCACAAUUUUGUCACGUUCGAAUAUUUUAGUUAUUAAUAUAUUUAAACGACGAAGGAAAUUCUUCAGCAUGAAAGUGUAGAACGUUGCGUUAGAAAUGAAUCUCCGGCGUGAGAACAUUCAUUUACUCAUCGGCAGCGGCGAAAGAAUCAAACGAUUAGGAGUUACAUCGAGUAUAACAUGUUUUCAUUGCGGCUACCAAGUCGAAUGGGAGCUGACACGCGGUAAACUCCAAUGAAAAUCUAUCAAUUAUCGAGGAGAUAUUCGUGUCAAAUUGAAACGGCGCUUGAAGAUGACGGUUAUACAUCACAUUGAUUUCUAUCCUCCAUCUCAGAGAUUCUCAAAUGAAACUAUAUAACUUCACAAUUUUUUAAUAUUGAAAUGCUUUGAGAUCUUCAUAUUUUGAGACAUACAAAUUUUGAAGCUCUGGUACUUUGAAAGUUUUCAACUUUAAAGUUUAAUGGACUUUAAAACCUGAAGACUGAGACAACAAAAUUUCCAAAAUUGUAUUCUUUGAAAAAUGAUGUGUUUCAAGUAAUUGAUUAACCAGAAAUAAUUGGUCAAAAGUAAAGUUGGUUCAAAAGUAAAAUUGGUCCAUGAAAGUUUGGGAAUCUCUGCUCAACUAGAAGCUAUUACAAAAUUGAAACUGAAUCCUUCAUAGAAUGUUGCAUCGCGAGGCUCCUUCAACUAGAACAAUGGCAAUCUCUUCAGCAUCAGACAGCUCUACUUGCCGGCUGUCUUCUAACUAGUAUCAAACAACACCGAUGAAUUAUGACCAUGACUGUUGGGCGUCACGGAGGUCGGCUUCAAAACCGGAGGAUCCUCCUUUUAACGCGGAUCCUGGCGAGAGGAAGACACCAAGCAGAACGGGGAGAGUUCGCACGGGUGAAUUCAAUGGAAGGUUAUGAAUAUCCGAUCCUCUGUCGAAGUUGCGUGUCAUAGUUAGCCGACUUCUUUUUCGCUGUGACGCCUUUGUCUGGUGUGCAUGUACCUAGGCAUUCCCUCGGUCAGAAUGAAAGUGAAAAUCUUCGUUCUAGUCGCGGAUGACCUACUGCUUGCCAAGAAUCUAGGUGCCCCGUCACAUCAUGCUGCUGUGUACGUCUUGUGUUCAGAACACCUUUGGGGAGCAGUUUCAUCAAAUUGAAUUGUAUUUUUCUUGUGGUAUUCACCUCAUCCUGGUUACAAUUAUUCACCUGGAAAAGAGAUAUUAGUAUAAAUUUAUUAUAAAAUGGUACAUUGAAGGGUGCUUCAUGAAGUGAUACAAGAUAUGAGCAAGAUAUAAAAGUAAUUAUCUUUGGUAGUGAAACAAAUAUUUCUAUACUAAGUGAUUUCUAUUAAUAUUACCUGUUAGGUUAUGAAGGUAUGAUUAUUGAAAAUGAAAUGUGAGAUCCACAAGAUUUACGAGAUUAUUCGUUGCUUAAGUGAACGCAAGCUAGUGAGCAGCUAUAUUAUUUAAACCGAGAAAUUAGCAAUUGCAAUGCUGAUCGAUAAAUGUCAAUGUCAAAAUGCUCGACUGAUUAUCAUGUACGAAAAAGGAAACUGGUGAUUUCCAUGGAGCACCAUGUUGAAACGAGGACGGGAGGCUCGCUUAGAAGCGUCACGCAUCAUUAUGGAACCAUAGUACACUUUACAGUAUCCUUUAUCCCAUGAACGGUGGAGAUACCGUUUAAUGAUACAUAACGAGCUUUUAUGAACUGUGAAGAAGUACAUAGAUACAUUCUAAUCUCAACCACUAUUAUGAGAGUUCUGGACGCUUAAGUUUCAUGACUUAAAUGUAAGCUGUCUAGAACCUUGUAUGUCCUUGACUUUUAAACUUUAGAGUACUUAACCUACAAAUUUCAAAGUUCCGAGACUACCAGUUCCAAAUUAUAAAAUUUAAUUUAAAGUUUUUAACUACUAAGAUUUCUAACCUAAUAACAAGAAAUUGAAAGCUCUAAUGUCUGCAAAAUCUAAUUGAUAGAUUCAGCAGCGUAUCACAGUUCUACAUCACAAGAGGUCCAUUCAAGUUUUCAUAGCAUAAAUAGCAUUCGAACGUCAAUUAGAACAAGAAACAACAGUAAUCUCCAGAUUCGAUCUGCUUCAGGUUUCAUCACUUAAAGAAGAGAGACUUCUGCCAAAUCCAUAAAACGAGUUCAUCACGCUUGCUCAGCUGUGUGGAGGCUUGUAAAACAUGUCCUAUUAUCAUCCUUCUUUUUUCUCAACCUAUCUUCAUCGCCGUAAAUGCACAUCUUAUUCUCUUCUCACAUCAUUCGAAACGCUCAUGACAUUUCGGUCGCCUCAACCUUAAAGUCUCGCCACCCGAGACCGUGGCUGAUCGCUUGCGUGAUCUCUCUUAUGUAAGUGAGCCUGAUCUAAAUCCUGAAACGAGUGGGACAAGCAAGGACUAACGUGACUGGAGGCGUAGGACCAUUAGGGAUCCUUUGCAAGGUGCUGAAGAUGGGAUCGCAUUCCUCGCGCCACUUAAUAACAAUGAAAGAACGUGUAAUCGUUCUAUUCGGUAGACGUCUUCGAGUCUCUCGGCUACCUCUUGCAGCUUAGGAUUGUAUGGUAAUCGUCCGAUUCAAAAUAGCACGCCUCGUUGUCGUGUCGCUUCUUUUCAGCCACGGAAUCAAUUUCAAUAAUGGCGAACAAUUGUAUCGAGACAUUACCAUUUAAUGACCUCUUACAGAACUGAAAUAAUACAGGCUUCAUUACUUCCUUCAACAGGAGUGGACAAUAUAAUGUGGCUAUACAAAAUGUGACAAUAUAACUUGUAAUGCAAUGAGUGUCACUAUGAACGCAUAGAAUUUUAAUUAUAAAAGAUUUCUAUAUAUCUAGAUCCUAAUUUGCUGGGUCCCAGUAUUCCCAUACACUUCAGUACCUAGACCCUGCACAUCCUAGAUCUUGGUACAUCUCCCAUUAUUUCUACAACCCAGCUUACACCCUGCACCUAGACCUAGACCUUGCCCUCAAUAUAUCCAACCCCUAACAUUCCUAGCUCGUAUAUCUACUUGCCAAUGCACCUAGCUCUAAGCAAAGCCCUAGCAAAGUAUCUAAUAUACACACAUCACGAACAAAAUGAAAUGAACAAAUAUAUUUAUGCAUGUUUCAGAAGUAUGUAUUCCGUUGCGAGAAAAAGUGUCAAGUUCGUGCGAAAUUAGAUGGAGUAUAUUAGAUAGCUUUCGAUAAGGGAAUACAAUGCGUUGAAUACCAGCUGCGUGAUACUUGAACGAACCUCGCAUAAUGGCAGGAUGUUUAUGCUUCGCGCGAGUCGUAAAUUUAAGGGACGCAUACACGAUAAAGUUGGCUGGCGAGUACUUUAAUGGAAAAGCAUUGGAACAGUGUCUCCCAAACACGUGUCUACUCGAUCUGAUAUCCUUAUCGUUAUUAUUGACAACUGGUAUCUUGCUGCUACUGAAAAAAUACAAAUUUUAAUAUAAAUUGUUAUUAUUCAUUGUUUACCAAUUAUGUCAUAAAUUGUAAAGUUCUAUGAUGCAGAUUUGAAUAUUCAAAUCGAAUUUAUAGACAAUACCUGUCUU